rnacentral:lncRNA from 1 species
GUUUUUUUUAAUUGGCUUUGAGUGGAGAUUGUUGUACGCAUCUCGUGUUGGACGCGCUCGCAAUCAAUGAAGACAAGUCAAACUCUGUGGCAUUAUGCGGUUUCAAACUGUUACGAUGGGCGUAAUUAUGUUUGGCUUUUGACGUAUUUUCAGCAUUUUAGACGGAGGACUGGUGGAUUGACUUUAUAUUCGCGUUUGAAAGUUUUGUGAAAAGCGCACCGGUGAGAGGACGCGGUCCUUCCAAACGCGUGUACUUGUUUCACAUCUGCGUGACUGCGCAACAAUGUAAUGAAGGGAGGGAGAGAGAAGAUGUCAUCAAGUUGCCAGGAAGCUACAGACUCCCCUGCAGUGCUCAAGCCAACAUCCCUCCAGGCCUGAACUGUCCAUUGAACCCCCUGUCACUUUUCAAACUCUCUCUCAGCCAAGGCAGGAAUUGUAUGUCAUUAAAUUGAAAUUUGGUGCCACAGCUGUGGUCCAGCUUCACACAGAGAGAAUGGAGUACAGUGAUUUAACAGAGAGACUUCCUUUUGCAAUAGACUUCAGGAUCAUUGCUCAAGAAGAAUUCAACUCAUGAAGUUUAAUCAGUGGUUGACACAGCAGAGCAUGAGGAGCAGACAUCCUUACAAUAAAAACUGACUUUACAAUAGUUGUAAUCCAGAGAAAUGAAAGUCUAUGGCUGGAUGAUAUAUUUGAAAUGAUUUCGCUGACCAUAUGAAAUUAAACAACAUAAUGAAUGUCAAGGGGAUUUUUAUUUGGCCAUUAAGUUUCUGUAUGGUGUCAUUAGACUUCAGUUAAUUUGCAUUUGUAAUCUUAAUUUUGUGGAAAAAUACCUUAACUUAUAGCAGUCACAUACUUAUGAACUAUUCUAUGCCAUUUUAUACACAGUAUGAGUUGUGCUCACUGAAAUUUCCAACAUGAAUUGCACUUUUAACCAGAUGAUGUGCUAAUUUAACAAAAAAAAAAUGUAUAAAAAUGGAAUGUUGGGCACUAAAUUCACUCACUGUUUUCCUUGUAUAGAGAGGAAGGAGAGGGGUUAUCAGACUAUUUAAAGCUUCAUGCUUUUUUACCAUUUUACAA